rnacentral:rRNA from 1 species
GACGAACGCUGGCGGCGUGCUUAACACAUGCAAGUCGAACGGAAAGGCCCUGCUUUUGUGGGGUGCUCGAGUGGCGAACGGGUGAGUAACACGUGAGUAACCUGCCCUUGACUUUGGGAUAACUUCAGGAAACUGGGGCUAAUACCGGAUAGGAGCUCCUGCUGCAUGGUGGGUGUUGGAAAGUUUCGGCGGUUGGGGAUGGACUCGCGGCUUAUCUGCUUGUUGGUGGGGUAGUGGCUUACCAAGGCUUUGACGGGUAGCCGGCCUGAGAGGGUGACCGGCCACAAUGGGACUGAGAUACGGCCCAGACUCCUACGGGAGGCAGCAGUGGGGAAUAUUGCACAAUGGGCGGAAGCCUGAUGCAGAAACGCCGCGUGCGGGAUGACGGCCUUCGGGGUGUAAACCGCUUUCGCCUGUGACGAAGCGUGAGUGACGGUAAUGGGUAAAGAAGCAACGGCUAACUACGUG